GCUGGGCAUGGUGAUGCAUGCCUGUAAUCCCAGUGGCUUGGGAAGCUGAGGCAGGAGGAUUGCCAGUUCAAACCCAGCCUCAGCAACAGUGAGGAGCUAAGCACUCAGUGAGACCCUGUCUCUA
rnacentral:sRNA from 1 species